rnacentral:rRNA from 1 species
AGUGAACGCUGGCGGUAGGCCUAACACAUGCAAGUCGAACGGCAUCACUGUAAGAGCUUGCUCUUACGGGUGGCGAGUGGCGUACGGGUGAGGAAUACAUCGCCAUCUACUUUUUCGUGGGUUAUAACGUAGGGUAACUUACGCUAAUACCUCAUACGACCUACGGGUUAAAGCAGGGGAUCUUCGGACCUUGCGUGAUCUAAUGAGCCGUUGUCGGAUUAGCUAGUUGGCGGGGUAAAGGCCCACCAAGGCGACGAUCCGUAGCUGGUCUGAGAGGAUGAGCAGACACCCUGGAACUGAGACAAGGUCCAGACUACUACGGGAGGCAGCAGUGGGGAAUAUUGGACAAUGGGAGCAAGCAGGAUCCAGCCAAGCCGCGUGGGUGAAGAAGGGCUGCGGGUAGUAAAGCUAUUUUGUUGGGGAAGAAAAGCAGAAGAUUAAUACCGCAGUGUGCUGAAGGUACCAAAAGAAUAAGCACCGGCUAACUUCGUG